UUGCUGGGGUCGUGGAGGCCGUGGGCGAGAGAGCCGGAGACCGUUUCUCAGUCGGAGACGAGGUGUUCGGGACGACAGAUCUCUCUCUCGGUGCGUUUGCCGAGCA
rnacentral:ribozyme from 1 species